rnacentral:rRNA from 1 species
UGGGGAAUUUUGGACAAUGGGCGAAAGCCUGAUCCAGCAAUGCCGCGUGUGUGAAGAAGGCCUUCGGGUUGUAAAGCACUUUUGUCCGGAAAGAAAUCCUUGGCUCUAAUACAGUCGGGGGAUGACGGUACCGGAAGAAUAAGCACCGGCUAACUACGUGCCAGCAGCCGCGGUAAUACGUAGGGUGCAAGCGUUAAUCGGAAUUACUGGGCGUAAAGCGUGCGCAGGCGGUUUGCUAAGACCGAUGUGAAAUCCCCGGGCUCAACCUGGGAACUGCAUUGGUGACUGGCAGGCUAGAGUAUGGCAGAGGGGGGUAGAAUUCCACGUGUAGCAGUGAAAUGCGUAGAGAUGUGGAGGAGUACCGAUGGCGAAGGCAGCCCCCUGGGCCAAUACUGACGCUCAUGCACGAAAACGUGGGGAGCAAACAGGAUUAGAUACCCUGGUAGUCCACGCCCUAAACGAUGUCAACUAGUUGUUGGGGGAUUCAUUUCCUUAGUAACGUAGCUAACGCGUGAAGUUGACCGCCUGGGGAGUACGGUCGCAAGAUUAAAACUCAAAUGAAUUGACGGGGUCAUAGCUG